GUUUUAUUUUUGUUCUGUUUACUUAGUUUUGGAUUUCAUUUUGAUUUUUAAUGAUUUUAUGUUAAAAUAUAUUUAAGAAGAUAUUAUAAGCAUAUUAUUGAACAUAUAUAAAUAAUUUGAAAAAAAUACAUGCAUUGUGCAGUGAGUCUUCGUUUAACCUUGGAAUCGGAUUCCUGAAAAUUACUACUAUAACUGAAAUCAGAAACCUAUAGACCAGUGGUUCUCAACCUUCCUAAUGGCACGACCCUUUAAUACAGUUCUUCAUGUUGUGGUGACCCCAACCAUAAAUUAUUUUCAUUGCUACUUCAUAACUGUAA
rnacentral:lncRNA from 1 species